rnacentral:rRNA from 1 species
AAACCAUUUAGGGGUUAAGCCCGAUGAACCCGAAUAUCUGAAAUGAGAAAUUCAAUACUAUUUUAUUAUAACUGAUAAUAAGGUUAUAUAAUAUAAAUGGUGUGCACUUUUCUCAUUAGUAAGACAUUGCAAUCCAUUGGUUUUAAAAUUGUAAAUUUAUCAUAAGGCCAAUAUGAAUUGUUCAUUAUUUUAUAUAUUAUUUUAUAUAUAGAUAAUAAUGAAUUCUGUUGUGACCAGAUAAAUAGCCGAUGGUUUUUAAAAAUCAUAUUUACAUUUUAUAUGUGGCACAGUUAUAUUUUAUUUAAAUAUAAUGUAGUGUUGAUAUGUAUUUGAUUAGCAAUGCGUAUGAUUUGGGAUACCUUCGGGACCCGUCUUGAAACACGGACCAAGGAGUCUAACAUGUGCGCAAGUCAUUAGGAUUAUUAAUUUAUUAUUAAUACCUAAAGGCAUAAUUAACGUAACUGUAUAUUUAUAUAUAUGGGAUUACAAAUAAUUUUAUAUAAUUAUUUUUUCAUCUCAGGGCGUUUUAUAUUGAACAUGUUUAUCAUUUUUAAUGUUUGACCUCUGUUCAAAAGCGUACCUUGAGCGUACAUGCUGU